rnacentral:rRNA from 1 species
GACGAACGCUGGCGGCGUGCUUAACACAUGCAAGUCGAGCGGAAAGGCCCUGCUUUUGUCGGGUGCCCGAGUCGCGAACGGGUGAGUAACAUGUGAGUAUGCUGCCCAUGACUGUGGGAUAUCUUCAGGCGACCGCGGCUAAUACCGGCUACGUGCUGCUGCUGCAUGGGGGGGGUUGGAAAGCUUCGGCUGAUGGGGGUCGAGUCCGGGCUUACGAGCUUGUUGGGUGAGUAGUUGCCUACCAAGGCAUCGAUGGAUAGUCGGCCUGGGAGGGUGACCAGCCACAUGAGGACUGAGGUACGGAGCAGACUCCUACGGGAGGCAGCAGUGGGGAGUAUUACACAAUGGGCGGGAGCCUGUUGCGACAGCGCCGCGUGCGGGAUGACGGCCUUCGGGUUGUGAACCGCAUUCGCCUGUGACGAAGCGUGAGUGACGUUACUGGGUGAAGAAGCACCGGCUAACUACGUG